CGGGGUGAGUAACACGUGGAUAACCUACCUAUAAGACUGGGAUAACUUCGGGAAACCGGAGCUAAUACCGGAUAAUAUUUUGAACCGCAUGGUUCAAAAGUGAAAGACGGUCUUGCUGUCACUUAUAGAUGGAUCCGCGCUGCAUUAGCUAGUUGGUAAGGUAACGGCUUACCAAGGCAACGAUGCAUAGCCGACCUGAGAGGGUGAUCGGCCACACUGGAACUGAGACACGGUCCAGACUCCUACGGGAGGCAGCAGGA
rnacentral:rRNA from 1 species